AAGAACCGAGUUGAAUCUAAUGAGUUGAAUCUAAUGAAUUGAACUGAGUUGUUCGUGAACUUUAAAUGAGUCGAAUUUAAACUUAAAAAAGAGUUCGUGUACAAUUCGAUUCGAGUUUUAAUCUGAAGCAAUUGUUAUUGUGUCGAGCUGGGUUAAGUCAUGCUCGACUCGACUCGACUCAUUUUCAAUUCUAAUUUCCAUAUAUUAUCAAACACAAAGUUAUAGGUUCAUCCGAACAAUAAAAACAUAUAAAAACAUUAAAAAAUAUAUCAACAUUAAAA
rnacentral:lncRNA from 1 species